UGGGGAAUAUUGCACAAUGGGGGAAACCCUGAUGCAGCGACGCCGCGUGAGCGAAGAAGUAUUUCGGUAUGUAAAGCUCUAUCAGCAGGGAAGAAAAUGACGGUACCUGACUAAGAAGCCCCGGCUAACUACGUGCCAGCAGCCGCGGUAAUACGUAGGGGGCAAGCGUUAUCCGGAUUUACUGGGUGUAAAGGGAGCGUAGACGGAAUGGCAAGUCUGAUGUGAAAGGCCGGGGCUCAACCCCGGGACUGCAUUGGAAACUGUCAAUCUAGAGUACCGGAGGGGUAAGUGGAAUUCCUAGUGUAGCGGUGAAAUGCGUAGAUAUUAGGAGGAACACCAGUGGCGAAGGCGGCUUACUGGACGGUAACUGACGUUGAGGCUCGAAAGCGUGGGGAGCAAACAGGAUUAGAUACCCUGGUAGU
rnacentral:rRNA from 1 species